ensembl:ribozyme RNaseP_nuc Nuclear RNase P
GUGGGGAGAAGCUCAUUGAAGAGGUCACUAGCAGAGUGCACUGUCACUCAAUCCUGCACCUUGGGGAAGGUCUGAGAAAAGAGCCACUGAAUGCCCUUGCAGAGCAUCUCCUGACAAAGGAGAGUGAGCACAGACACGCUCACGGCUGGCACAUGAGUCCACUGGAUGAGCUGGGAUUAACUUCCAGAACCCAAUUCAGACUACUCUCCUCCCAC